rnacentral:rRNA from 1 species
UACGAAGGGGGCUAGCGUUGCUCGGAAUCACUGGGCGUAAAGCGCACGUAGGCGGCUUCUUAAGUCAGGGGUGAAAUCCUGGAGCUCGACUCCAGAACUGCCUUUGAUACUGAGAAGCUUGAGUCCGGGAGAGGUGAGUGGAACUGCGAGUGUAGAGGUGAAAUUCGUAGAUAUUCGCAAGAACACCAGUGGCGAAGGCGGCUCACUGGCCCGGUACUGACGCUGAGGUGCGAAAGCGUGGGGAGCAAACAGG